CGCGGUUGCCCAGUACAGAAAUGCUCACAGCUGCCUUUAGAUGCAAGCCCAGUUGCUGCAGUGACAUGGAAGCAUAACAGUACACAAGGCCUAGCUGUCACACCCUGUGUGCCCACCCAGAGAGAGGACACGAAGGCCAGGCCGGGAGCAUGGCACGGCCAUCCGCAGUGGCUCUGCUCUGGUUCCUGCCUGGAGGAUCCCCGCUUCCCUGAAUUCCCAGCACUGAGUAUGAAAGGCAAUUGUUCUUGACAGAACUCUGGGAUCCAGC
rnacentral:lncRNA from 1 species